rnacentral:rRNA from 1 species
AUCGCGGCCUACCAUGCAAGUCGAGGGGUAACGAUGUUCUUCGGACAGGCGACGACCGGCGCACGGGCUGCGUAACGCGUAUGCAACCUACCUUUAACAGGAAGAUAGCCCCGAGAAAUCGGGAUUAAUACUCCAUAAUAUUUAUGAGUGGCAUCACUUAUAACUUAAAGCUCCGGCGGUUAGAGAUGGGCAUGCGUGACAUUAGUUAGUUGGUAAGGUAACGGCUUACCAAGACUACGAUGUCUAGGGGUUCUGAGAGGAUUAACCCCCACACUGGUACUGAGACACGGACCAGACUCCUACGGGAGGCAGCAGUGAGGAAUAUUGGGCAAUGGACGCAAGUCUGACCCAGCCAUGCCGCGUGAAGGAUGAAGGCCUUAUGGGUUGUAAACUUCUUUUAUACGGGAAUAAACUUAGCUAUGUAUAGUUAACUGCAGGUACCGUACGAAUAAGCACCGGCUAACUCCGUGCCAGCAGCCGCGGUAAUACGGAGGGUGCAAGCGUUAUCCGGAUUUAUUGGGUUUAAAGGGUCCGCAGGCGGACUAAUAAGUCAGUGGUGAAAUCUCUCGGCUCAACCGAGAAACUGCCAUUGAUACUGUUAGUCUAGAGUGUAGUUGGCGUAGGCGGAAUAUAUCAUGUAGCGGUGAAAUGCUUAGAUAUGAUAUAGAACACCGAUCGCGAAGGCAGCUUACGAAACUACAACUGACGCUCAGGGACGAAAGCGUGGGGAGCGAACAGGAUUAGAUACCCUGGUAGUCCACGCCGUAAACUAUGAUUACUCGUUGUCGGCGAUACACAGUCGGUGGCUAAGCGAAAGCGAUAAGUAAUCCACCUGGGGAGUACGAUCGCAAGGUUGAAACUCAAAGGAAUUGACGGGGGGCCCGCACAAGCGGAGGAGCAUGUGGUUUAAUUCCGAUGAUACCCGAGGAACCUUACCUGGGCUUAAAUGCUUAAUGAC